UACGUAGGGGGCAAGCGUUGUUCGGAAUUACUGGGCGUAAGGGGCGCGUAGGCGGAAGGCCAAGUCGGGGGGGAAAGCCCGGGGCUCAACCCCGGAAUGUCUUUCGAAACUGGCCAGCUGGGGUGCGGAAGAGGCAACUGGAAUUCCCAGUGUAGCGGUGAAAUGCGUAGAUAUUGGGAAGAACACCUGAGGCGAAGGCGGGUUGCUGGGCCGACACUGACGCUGAGGCGCGAAAGCCAGGGGAGCAAACGGG
rnacentral:rRNA from 1 species